rnacentral:lncRNA from 1 species
AAUACAGUGACCACAGAGCAUUAGCACCCAAGCAGGACCUGCUGAACCUGGGGCCCUAUAGGAGAGCACUGAUGGCCCACCCCUGAUUGUGGCCCUGGUCUUCAUGUCUGCAUCAGCCUCAGCCAUCUCAAGACCACAACAGGAACAUAGCCAAGUCAGAGAAGGAAGACCAAAAGCACCAGGGCCCUUCAUAUUAUUAAGCUGCUAAAUUAACUAAUCUUGGAAACUUCUAGACUCUACAAUUCUUGUUGUAUGAGAGUGGAUUGACAAUUAUUCUCUGGACUUUUUGGUAACCAAGAACUUCUAGCAACUAACCCUGGCAUGACCACCAGAAUCUGCAGGGCUGAGAGAAGAAAGAAAGGCAAAAGUGGAUGAAUGCAGCUGAAGAUGCUGUGGAACUCCUAUCACAUUCCAAGUGCUGUGUUGAUAUCUGGAGAUAUAGACAAGAUCGAAGCAGAUGCAGUCUUUCACAUGAAUAUUUGAAUCAGGCAGUAUGUUCCCCAAAUUAGCAAAGUAUCUCCCAGAUUUUUUCUUUGAUGAUAUAUUUGAAAUCCUAAUGCUG